ACUUUCAAACAAAAGUAAACAGUUAAAAACAUAAUAAAUGACUGAUGGCACAAUAAUAAUUAUGUAAAUAUUACUUUCCCUAAACCAUAGAAAACAUUGCCAAUCAGAAUUAAAGGACAGACCUAAGGUGAAGUUCACCGUUUGCAUGUCAAGAGACCGUGACCAUGGUAUCUUGGGGCCUGUGCAUUCUAAAAAUAUAUAACCACAAGGUGGUAACCAGUCUCGGGUUGUCCCCCACAUCCAGCAUCACAUUACUAUGAACCACAAGGUUGUUACCAGUCUCAGAUACAACCCCCACAUUCAGCACCACAUUACUAUGAACCACAAGGCUGUUACCAGUCUCAGAUACAACCCCCACAUUCAGCACCGCAUUACUAUGAACCACAAGGUUGUUAACAGUCUUAGAUACAACCCCCAUAUUCAGCGCCACAUUACUAUGAACCCCAAGGUUGUUACCAGUCUCAGGUUGUCCCCCACAUCCAGCAUCACAUUACUAUGAACACAAGGUUGUGACCAGUCUCAGAUACAACCCCCACAUUCAUUCAGCAUGAACUUUAGAAAGGCAAAAUCAAACUGAAGCAUAAUUAAUCUCACUGUCAUAUUACUUACUUAAAAUGCUUAUCAUUAACAA